rnacentral:rRNA from 1 species
AGUGAACGCUGGCGGUAGGCCUAACACAUGCAAGUCGAACGGCAGCACAGUAAGAGCUUGCUCUUACGGGUGGCGAGUGGCGGGCGGGUGAGGAAUACAUCGGAAUCUACUUUUUUGUGGGGGAUAACGUAGGGAAACUUACGCUAAUACCGCAUACGACCUACGGGUGAAAGCAGGGGAUCUUCGGACCUUGCGCGAUUGAAUGAGCCGAUGUCGGAUUAGCUAGUUGGCGGGGUAAAGGCCCACCAAGGCGACGAUCCGUAGCUGGUCUGAGAGGAUGAUCAGCCACACUGGAACUGAGACACGGUCCAGACUCCUACGGGAGGCAGCAGUGGGGAAUAUUGGACAAUGGGCGCAAGCCUGAUCCAGCCAUACCGCGUGGGUGAAGAAGGCCUUCGGGUUGUAAAGCCCUUUUGUUGGGAAAGAAAAGCAGCAGGUUAAUACCCCGCUGUUCUGACGGUACCCAAAGAAUAAGCACCGGCUAACUUCGUG